rnacentral:rRNA from 1 species
GAAUGUUGGACAGUGGGCGAAAGCCUGCUCCAGCAAUGCCGCGUGCAGGAUGAAGGCCUUCGGGUUGUAAACUGCUUUUGUACGGAACGUAAAGCUUUAGGUUAAUACCCCGGAGACAUGACGGUAGCGUAAGAAUAAGCACCGGCUAACUACGUGCCAGCAGCCGCGGUAAUACGUAGGGUGCAAGCGUUAAUCGGACUUACUGGGCGUAAAGCGUGCGCAGGCGGGUUUGUAAGACAGAGGUGAAAUCCCCGGGCUCAACCUGGGAACUGCCUUUGUGACUGCAAGUCUAGAGUACGGCAGAGGGGGGUGGAAUUCCGCGUGUAGCAGUGAAAUGCGUAGAUAUGCGGAGGAACACCGAUGGCGAAGGCAACCCCCUGGGCCGGUACUGACGCUCAUGCACGAAAGCGUGGGGAGCAAACA